GGUUGUAGUUCAGUGGUAGAGCACUUGAUUAGAAUAUGUGAGGCUCUGGGUUCAAUACCCAGCACCA
rnacentral:tRNA from 1 species